AGUGGGGAAUAUUGGACAAUGGGCGGAAGCCUGAUCCAGCAACGCCGCGUGAGGGAUGACGGCCUUCGGGUUGUAAACCUCUUUCAGCACCGACGAAGCGCAAGUGACGGUAGGUGCAGAAGAAGGACCGGCCAACUACGUGCCAGCAGCCGCGGUAAUACGUAGGGUCCGAGCGUUGUCCGGAAUUAUUGGGCGUAAAGGGCUCGUAGGCGGUUUGUCGCGUCGGGAGUGAAAACACCGGGCUUAACUCGGUGCUUGCUUUCGAUACGGGCAGACUGGAGGUAUGCAGGGGAGAACGGAAUUCCUGGUGUAGCGGUGAAAUGCGCAGAUAUCAGGAGGAACACCGGUGGCGAAGGCGGUUCUCUGGGCAUGACCUGACGCUGAGGAGCGAAAGUGUGGGGAGCGAA
rnacentral:rRNA from 1 species